rnacentral:misc_RNA from 2 species
AAGUCGUAACAAGGUUUCCGUAGGUGAACCUGCGGAAGGAUCAUUACAGAGUUCAUGCCCGAAAGGGUAGACCUCCCACCCUUGUGUAUUAUUACUUUGUUGCUUUGGCGAGCUGCCUUUGGGCCUUGUAUGCUCGCCAGAGAAUACCAAAACUCUUUUUAUUAAUGUCGUCUGAGUACUAUAUAAUAGUUAAAACUUUCAACAACGGAUCUCUUGGUUCUG